AUGAGACCUCCUUCAUAGUGGGAGUGAUGCCUCUCUGUCAGAUGGGAAUAAGGCCUUCCUAGAAUGUUAAAGAGGAAAGCUGCUUUCAUGGAAACGGCCACCUCCUUUCAGUAUCUCCUCUAAAGUUCCCUGUCUACAGCUUCAGGUAUCAGCACGAUCCAUGAGGUUGUCCUAGUUGGAAGUCUGAUCAUGGUACCCCCCUGCCGGCAACUCCGUCAAUACAGCACUUCAAGCAACCACUCUGUCUAACUCGAUUGUUUUCACUCUGGUCCUGUCUUAGAGGACUGGUAUGAUUUUGCAGAAAAACAUAGAAAUAUGAGGUAAUGAUUGCUUUUUUUUUUUUUUACAAGAACCAAAUAAAUAAAUCUUCAAGGAAAGAAAAUUACUUCUAAGUUUGAUGGACAUAACCAAAAGAAAUACUUUAUU